rnacentral:rRNA from 1 species
AGUGAACGCUGGCGGUAGGCCUAACACAUGCAAGUCGAACGGCAGCACAGGAGAGCUUGCUCUCUGGGUGGCGAGUGGCGGACGGGUGAGGAAUACAUCGGAAUCUACUCUGUCGUGGGGGAUAACGUAGGGAAACUUACGCUAAUACCGCAUACGACCUACGGGUGAAAGCAGGGGAUCUUCGGACCUUGCGCGAUUGAAUGAGCCGAUGUCGGAUUAGCUAGUUGGCGGGGUAAAGGCCCACCAAGGCGACGAUCCGUAGCUGGUCUGAGAGGAUGAUCAGCCACACUGGAACUGAGACACGGUCCAGACUCCUACGGGAGGCAGCAGUGGGGAAUUUUGGACAAUGGGGGCAACCCUGAUCCAGCCAUGCCGCGUGCGGGAAGAAGGCCUUCGGGUUGUAAACCGCUUUUGGCCGGGAAGAAAGGGCCUUGGAUAAAACCCAAGGCUGUUGACGGUACCGGCAGAAUAAGCACCGGCUAACUACGUGCCAGCAGCCGCCGUAA